GUGGAAUUAGCUCAGGUGGUUAGAGUGCCAGGUUGUGGCCCUGGAGGCCGUGGGUUCGAAUCCCAUAUUCCACCCCA
rnacentral:tRNA from 1 species